AUUGAACGCUGGCGGCAGGCCUAACACAUGCAAGUCGAGCGAGCGGCGGACGGGUGAGUAAUGUCUGGGAAACUGCCUGAUGUAGGGGGGUAACUACUGGAAACGGUAUCUAAUACCGCAUACCAUCAGAUGUGCCCAGAUGGGGUUAGCUAGUAGGUGGGGUAACGGCUCACCUAGGCGACGAUCCCUAGCUGGUCUGAGAGGAUGACCAGCCAAACUGGAACUGAGACACGGUCCAGACUCCUACGGGAGGCAGCAGUGGGGAAUAUUGCACAAUGGGCGCAAGCCUGAUGCAGCCAUGCCGCGUGUGUGAAGAAGGCCUUAGGGUUGUAAAGCACUUUCAGUGGGGAGGCGUUACCCGCAGAAGAAGCACCGGCUAACUCCGUGCCAGCAGCCGCGGUAAUUC
rnacentral:rRNA from 1 species